UGUUACAGAUCAGGACAGUUUCAUCCUCUAUGCUGAGAUUGACAGCAACAGAACAGGUGGCAAGAGAUUCACAAACAGUCUGUCAGAAGGCCCUCAGCCUGACUCCUGUACCUAUGCCAGCAUCGUGUUUGACAGCAACAGACAAGGUGACAAAACUCUCCGGGUUGCUGAUUCAGAAGAGAGUGAGUCAGCGGAUGUAACCUAUGCAGCUGUGGUGAAGACACAUUAGGAGCGAAUAAGAACUGAGGUUGCGUUGUUUCUCAGAUCAAAUUCAAGGAACGUGAUGGAACUUACCGGCUCAAAACUUGGCAUUACUAUUCUUCAAAAUUGUUUUUUAAAUUUUUUUAAAAAUUGUGCCUUUUUAUCUUAGUGUAUUUUUAAUUGUGGACUGAAAGGCAUCAGAAUUGUUGAAAACCAAAGAUUGUUUAAGGGAUACUGCACACUUUUGAAAGCAAGUAACCUGACACUCAUUGUAACUGUUGUUUACACAGCUGCUGGGUCAGACAGCAACAGAAGAAGGUGCAGACGAACUGGAGACAUGCCCAUGUACAACUGGCGAUUCAGCCAGAAACAAGUAUCUGAUUGGUCUUUGUACUAAAGACCAGUAAUCAAUGACAAAGACCAUCUUGCUACCAAUGACUAUGUGAUUGGUUCCCAGCUAAUUGAACAGGUUGUGGAUAUGAACAUGACAGGGAGAAGCCAUCUGACCUCCACCUUCUGAGGAGCUGUUCAUCAUCAGCUCUGUUCCGGCAGGAAAAUCUCCUUUAAAUCUGAGGAUAACCAGCUGAUUGUCUUUUCCUUCAGCAGUUGCAGUAAGUUCUGACCUUUAAUGAGUAAGUCAGACCUUUUAUAAACCACACACUCUAUCUCUAGUAAACCAGUGACAGCAUCUGGAGAAGCAGCAUUCUGAUCAGCACAAGAAUCAUCUCAGCAGAUCCCGCGAACAGGGAUUGACGAAACUGUUUUCUGUGAUUGAUGUUUAUUUUCUGUGUGUGUGUGUGUCUGUGUGUGUGUGUGUGUGUGUGUGUGUGUGUGUCUGUGUGUGUCUGUGUGUGUCUGUGUGUGUGUGUCUGUGUGUGUGUGUGUGUGUGCAUACAAUAUGUGCUUGCUUUUAAGGGGACUUGAUUCAUGAGCAUCUUAGAGUUUUAACUAAUGUUGUUAUAGCUCAAUGGUCCAUCAUUUUUGUGUGGAA